UAGGGUUGGUAGGGCUUAGGGUUAGGUAGGGUUUAGGGUUAGGUAGGAUUUAGGGUUACAUAGGGUUUAGGGUUACGUAGGGUUUAGGGUUAGGUAGGGCUUAGAAUUGGGUAGAGUUUAGGGUUAGUAGGGUUUAGGGUUAGGUAGGGUUUAGGGUUAUGUAGGGUUUAGGGUUAGAAUGGUUUUACGGUUAGGUAGGGUUUAGGGUUAUGUAAGGUUAGGGUUAGGUAGGGUUUAGAAUUAGGUAGGGUUUAGGGUUAGCAUGGUUUAGGGUUAGAAGGGUUUAGGGUUAGUAGGGUUUAAUUUAGGGUUAGGUAGGGUUUAGGGUUAGGUAAGGUUUAGGGUUAGAAGGGGUUUAAAGUUAGGUAGGGUUUAGGGUUAGGUAAGGUUUAGGGUUAUGUAGGGUUAGGGUUAGGUAGGGUCUAGAAUUAGGUAGAGUUUAGGGUUAGGUAAGGUUUAGGGUUAUGUAGGGUUAGGGUUAGGUAGGGUCUAGAAUUAGGUAGGGUUUAGGGUUAGCAUGGUUUAGGGUUAGAAGGGUUUAGGGUUAGUAGGGUUUAAUUUAGGGUUAGGUAGGGUUUAGGGUUAGGUAAUGUUUAGGGUUAGAAGGGGUUUAGAGUUAGGUAGGGUUUAGGGUUAGGUAAGGUUUAGGGUUAGAAGGAGUUUAGGGUUAGGUAGGUUUUAGGGUUUAGGGUUAGGUAGGAUUUAGGGUUAGGAAGGAUUUCGAAUUAGGUAGGGUUUAGGGUUAUGUAGGGUUUAGGGUUAGGUUUUAGGUUGGGUUUAGGGUUAGGUAGGGUUUAGGGUUGGUAGGGCUUAGGGUUUAGGGGUUUAGGGUUACGUAGGGUUUUAGGGUUGGUAGGGCUUAGGGUUAGGUAGGGUUUAGGGCUAGGUAGGGUUUAGGGUUAGGUAGGGUUUAGGGUUACAUUGGGUUUAGGGCUACGUAGGGUUUAGGGUUAGGUAGGGUUUAGAAUUGGGUAGGGUUUAGGGUUAGGUAGGGUUUAGGGUUAUGUAGGGCUUAGGGUUAGAAUGGUUUUACGGCUAGGUAGGGUUUAGGUUAGGUAGGGUUUAGGUUUAUGUAGGGUUACGGUUAGGUAGGGUUUAGAAUUAGGUAGGGUUUAGGGUUAGCGUGGUUUAGGGUUAGAAGGGUUUAGGGUUAGUAGGGUUAAGUGGAUUUAGGGCUAGAAAGGGUUUAGGGUUAGGUAGGGUUUAGGGUUAGGUAAGGUUUAGGGUUAGAAGGGGUUUAGAGUUAGGUAGGGUUUAGGGUUAAAAAGGGUUUAGGGUUAGAUAGGGUUUAGGGUUAGGUAGGGUUUAGGGUUAGGUAAGGUUUCAAAUUAGGUAGGGUUUAGGGGUAGGUAGUGUUUAGGGUUAGGUAGGGUUUAGGGUUAGAAAGGGUUUAGGGUAAGUAGGGUUUAAGGUUAGUAGGGUUUAGGGUUAGUAGGGUUUCGGGUUAGGUAGGGUUAGGGUUAGAAAGUUCCUACUAAUCAUCAAACAAAGCUUCACUCUCCUUCUUCUUCUUUUUUGUCCUCUGAGAUUACUAGGGUUUAGGGUUAGGUAGGGUUUAGGGUAGGUAGGGUUUAGGGUUAGGUAGGGUUUAGGGUUAGGUUUUAGGUAGGGUUAAGGGUUAGGUUUUAAGUAGGGUUUAGGGUUAGGUAGGGUUGAGGGUUAAAUAAGGUUUAGGGUUAGGUAGGGUUUACGUUUCGGGUUAGGUUGGUUUACGGUUAGAUAGGUUUAGGGUUUAGGUAGUAUGAAGGAUUUAGGGAUUACGGUUAGAUUUAUGUAGAGUUUAGGGUUAGAUUGGUUAAGGUCUAGGUUUAGGUAGGAUUUAAGGUUUAGGUAGUAGAAAAGGUUUAGCGUUUGAUUUAGGUUGGGUUUAAGGUUUGCUUUAGAAUAAUGCUUAGGAUUAUAGGGUUUAAGGUUUGUUUGUUUUUUUGUUUAUGUAUUUAGUGCUGAGUUUUUCCGAUAAAAUUUAUAUUAAUAUUAUUGAUUCAUAAUUUUUCUUAAAAUGUUA
rnacentral:lncRNA from 1 species